rnacentral:rRNA from 1 species
GACGAACGCUGGCGGCGUGCUUAACACAUGCAAGUCGAACGGAAAGGCCUGCUUUCCCCUGUGGAUUGCGGGUACUCGAGUGGCGAACGGGUGAGUAACACGUGAGUGAUCUGCCCCCAACUUGGGUAUAAGCCUGGGAAACUGGGUCUAAUUCCCGAUAGGACUGCAGGGUGGUGCCCGUGGUGGAAAACGAUUUUCUAGUGGUUGGGGAUGAGCUCGCGGCCUAUCAGCUUGUUGGUGGGGUAAUGGCCUACCAAGGCGGCGACGGGUAGCCGGCCUGAGAGGGUGGACGGCCACAUUGGGACUGAGAUACGGCCCAGACUCCUACGGGAGGCAGCAGUGGGGAAUAUUGCACAAUGGGCGGAAGCCUGAUGCAGCGACGCCGCGUGGGGGAUGACGGCCUUCGGGUUGUAAACUCCUUUCGACCGCGAGGAAGCCACCUGGUUGGAAGGGUGGUGACGGUAGUGGUAGAAGAAGCACCGGCUAACUACGUG